AGAGUUUGAUCCUGGCUCAGAACGAACGCUGGCGGCGUGCCUAACACAUGCAAGUCGAACGGAAUGAAGGGGCUUGCUCUUUCAUAGUGGCGCACGGGUGAGUAACGCGUAGAUAAUCUGCCUGACGAUCUGGGAUAACACUUCGAAAGAGGUGCUAAUACCGGAUAAGCCCACGGGGUCUUUGGACUCUGCGGGAAAAGGGGGGGACCUUUUGGCCUUCUGUCGUCAGAUGAGUCUGCGUACCAUUAGCUAGUUGGUAGGGUAAUGGCCUACCAAGGCUACGAUGGUUAGCUGGUCUGAGAGGAUGAUMAGCCACACUGGAACUGAGACACGGUCCAGACUCCUACGGGAGGCAGCAGUGGGGAAUUUUGYGCAAUGGGGGAAACCCUGACGCAGCAACGCCGCGUGAGUGAUGAAGGCUUUCGGGUCGUAAAGCUCUGUCAGAGGGGAAGAAAUGAAACGUGCUAAUAUCACGUUUUCUUGACGGUACCCUCAAAGGAAGCACCGGCUAACUCCGUGCCAGCAGCCGCGGUAAUAC
rnacentral:rRNA from 2 species